GCCUGGUGGCUCAGUCGGUUGAGCGUCUGACUUCAGCUCAGGUCAUGAUUUCGCGACUUGUGGGUUUGAGCCUCGCAUCGGGCU
rnacentral:tRNA from 1 species